GUGAAAGUUGAGAGAUUAUGAUGCAACUUUUAUAACACACCUUCAUAUUUUGUUCUUGCAGUUGUUCUUCCGUCAAAUAUGACAAAACAGCCUUUCCAACCAAAUGAUGCAAAACUGAUGAAGAACAAAAGAUGAUUGGUGUUAGUUUAGCCUGUCGCAGCCCUUUGACCAGAACAAGCAGGACUCCUUGGGGGAAUGCAGACCUUUUCUCAAGCAAAAGAGUUGAGCUGAUUCAACUCCUAAUUUCGUAGGCUUUUGAUUGGAUGAGCUUUACAUGGACACUUAUGACAGUGACUACAAGACUCGUGUUUGUUAGUUUUGCAUGAUCGGAUUAGUUACCAAUUGCUGUAGCUUGUGGAUCGUCGGCUUCAAAGUCUGUCUCUAUUGUUGGAAUUUCUCCUAACUUUCUCCAUUAUGUUUUGGAAUAAUCACUUCUUGAUGAUAGCUAAGGUAGAGUUAUGUAUUUAUUGUGAUCAUGUAGUCACACUUUUAUAUUAUAGUGAAAUUUUUUAGUGGACUCUCAAGUCCCGUGAUUUUUACCCUUUGAUUUAAAGGGGUUUUUUCACGUAAAAA